UCGCGUGAUUUACUCGUAAAUUUGAUGCCUAUUGUUCUCAUAAAAAUCUGUUCGGAAUAUUUCCGAACAAAUUCGAUCGAAAUCGAAAUGCGAAAAAUUUGUAUUUUUUACCGUACGAUUAAAAUGGUGUGAUUUUAUGUUUUAUUUUCGAGUGUGAUUCUUACGUUGAACUUGAUUAGUGCUACAUUACCGACGAUAUCAGCCAAUUUCGUUUACGAAUGUUCGAAUUACUAUCAAUUGUUGGCGAACGAAGAUAAUUAUGAAGAUGCUCGAGCUCGUGGAAAGAAAAGCAAACGGAAUUCCGUGGCACGGACGCCGAACAGAAAAUCUCUCAGGCUUUACCACCAACUCUAAGGGGAUAUUUCUGAUGAAGAAAGAGAAGGAUGUGCCGCGUGAGAAACGAUGGAAGAGAGAUAGCAGAGGUCUCCUGUGUUCUCUCGGGCAACUAGGAUACAAUGAUUCUUCAUAUAGUCCAGACACUCUUGGCACGUGGAAAUUUCACAGAAUUACUCGGAGAAGCCAUGAGGGGAUGAGCACUGGGACAGGAGAUGGAGGUGGAAGCGGAGGUGGUGGUGUGCAAGGUGGGGGAGGUGGAAGAAAUACACCACCUCAUGGAUCGCCCACCCCUAUGGACAAGGCCACCUUGAAGGUCCAUUUACCCAACGGUGGUUUUAAUGUCGUCAAAUUUGGUGAUGCUAUUGACGUGAAAGGGAUCAUCUCGUUAGUAACCAGUCGACUUGCCGUUGGUAACAGAUAUUAUCGAAAUCUCUAUGCCAUGAGAUUGCAUCAUCCAGGAUCUGGAGAGAGUUACUGGUUACAUCAAGACACCACAAUGUACCAGGUUCAAGAAAAAUAUGAAAAGAAACAUCCUCAUUGUGAAUGGAGGUACGAACUCAGAGUACGAUAUCUACCACAAAAUCUGAAUGAUCUCUAUGAAAAAGACAAAGUCACGUUCUACUAUUAUUACGAUCAGGUACGAAACGACUACCUGUAUGCAAAUCAUUCUGCACUGGACCAAGACGUAGCAGUUCAAUUAUGUUGCUUAGAGAUACGCUAUUUCUUCAAAGACAUGCCACAAAUGGCUCUCGACAAGAAAAGCAAUUUGGAAUAUUUAGAAAGAGAGGUUGGCUUACACAAAUUUCUUCCACGGUCCGUAUUAAACGGAAUGAAGCCAAAGGCACUUAGAAAGCUGAUACAACAACAUUUCAAGAAAGUAGCCGCUCUUUCAGAAUUAGAAUGCAUGUUCAAGUUCUUUGACUUGCUUAGGGCACAUUAUAGAUUCGAUCAGGAAAGAUUCAUUUGUGCAUUGGGGUCAAGCUGGUCCAUUCCUGUUGAACUAGUCAUAGGUCCUGAUCUCGGCAUAUCUUAUAUGGCUCAUCGAGGUGGAACAGUGCCGACUAGAAUGACGGAGUUCUCGCAAAUACAAUCAAUUCAAACGUUGGUUUCUGACUGCAAAGAACAUGCCAAAGCAUGCAUCAAAUUGAGAGUCGCUGGAGCAACCGAGACGCUGAGUAUAACUUGCUCAAGUUUGGACCAAGCAGAAAGUCUUGCUGACUUGAUAGACGGUUAUUGUAGACUAGUGACUGGCAGUAAUACUUCCUUAUGGAAUCGGAAAGCUGCAUCGUGGAAAAAUUAUCCCUGUCCAUGCAAAGAUGCACAUCCUCCAAAGUAUAGACAAGAUGGUUUCAACAGUCCUGAAAAAAAUGUGAGCAAAACGGGAACAAUUUUGUCUGAAGAUUAUGCGGAGAUCGUAGACGAGGAAGGAGAUUAUUCUACUCCAGCGACACGUGAUUAUGAAAUAGUUCGUAAUCAAGUAGAGCUGGGUGAAAUUAUUGGAGAAGGUCAGUUUGGUAAUGUUCACAAAGGAUCGUAUAAAGGUAGAGAUGGACAAACUAUAGCUGUUGCUGUAAAAACGUGUAAAGUUGAUGCUGACCUUGCUACUGCUGAAAAAUUCCUCGAAGAAGCCUACAUCAUGCAACAAUUCGAACACCCUCAUAUAAUUAGACUCAUCGGAGUAUGUUCCGAAGCGCCGAUCUGGUUGGUUAUGGAGUUGGCGAGACUUGGAGAAAUGCGUGCAUAUCUUCAAUCAAACAAACAUCGAUUAGAUCUUGCGACUCUUUUACUCUACACAUUCCAACUAAGUACUGCUUUAUCGUACCUUGAGAGUAAAAAAUUUGUGCACAGAGAUAUUGCAGCUAGAAAUGUAUUAGUUUCCUCGCAUAAUUGCGUCAAGCUAGCAGACUUUGGACUGAGUCGAUGGGUGGAAGAUCAAAGUUAUUAUACUGCAAGCAAGUGUAAAUUACCGAUCAAAUGGAUGGCUCCAGAAAGUAUAAACUUUCGAAGAUUUACCACUUCGUCCGACGUUUGGAUGUUCGGUGUUUGUAUGUGGGAGAUAUUAAUGUUAGGUGUUAAACCAUUCCAAGGUGUAAAAAAUAACGAAGUCAUUCGCAAGCUAGAAAAUGGUGAAAGACUAGCGCUUCCUAAUCACUGCCCUCCACGCUUAUAUUCCUUAAUGUCUCAGUGUUGGAGUUAUGAACCUAGCAAACGACCAACGUUCAAAGAAAUUAGAGAAACUUUACAUGAAAUUUUGUUAGAAGAGAAACAUCAACAACAAGAGACUAUGAGACGAGAAAAUAGAAGAGUACAAGCCAUGUCUUGGGGUGCAGACGAAGUUCCACCUCCGAAACCUUCCAGACAACCACAAAAUACAGCAGCAGACUCAGCACAAUUAACAGCAGCUGCACCUGUCUCUACUUAUAUCGUAGCACAGAGUCCGGAAGUUCUUGCUCAACUUCUUAAGGAUAAUCAAACUAGGGGGGUAUGUCCCUCUGUCUACACUACUCCUGCCUCUCCAUUUAACACACUCGCUGUACAAUUUCAAGACGAAGACCAAGUCUUGACUACUGCCGUUGUCUCAGAUUUACCCUUUUUCGACCCAGCGAUUUCCGAGCCUACUGCUUCUCAUGACACACAAUCAGGAGACUCAACUUUGUCCGACACUAAUCUAGAUUCUUUAGACUCCUCAGACACUGUUUCUCCCCUCAUGUCGAGUCUCAAUAUUUCAGACACAGCGCAGACACAAUCGCCAGCUGCCGGUAGAAAACAACAAAAGAUUAAAGAGAUGCAAAACUUAUAUGCAGUAAGCUCAAAGGUCGUCACUAAUGUCACGGGAGAUUUAUAUUCACCUGUGCAGAAAUUUUCAGUAUCCAAUCCGAUACCCAUUACGACUACUGCUUGCGGUGAAAUAUACGGUCCUGUGGCUAAUUUUACACAAAGUUCAGCUAUUGUAGGUAAUCUCAGUCAGAGUCCUAGCGUAGGUGGUAACUUUGGUGAAAAUCCAGGCAAUUUUGGCCCUAGCAGCUUAAAUAAUCAAACUCAGUUUGUGAGUGGCACGCAUGCUCAAUCAUCUAAUCUUGGUCAGCACUCCACUAAUAUCACAAGCCAAGCAUAUGCAAGUGGUCAGCAACCCAUAAUUCCUAGUAGUUCAUCUACUUCAAACACUGUUACCGCUACAGGAUCUCCUCGUAUUAAUACAGUUAACGUUCCAAUAUCCACUGCCAAUGCGGAAUGUUUGUAUGGCCCUGUUUUAAAAUUCCGAGCACAAAGUGCUCAGAAUCAAAGUGGUGGAGAUAUAACAUGCGUUAGUUCAGCUACAUCGUUUGUUCCAAGUGGAAGAAGUCAAUUAGUUUAUAGUCCAACACCAGUUCAAAACUUGCAAUCUCAACCACUUUAUCCCCAAAACUAUCAACAUCAACAAAUAUAUUCUAAUGUUAAUCAAAUGGGACAACAACACAUGUAUAUUCCGCGAACGCAACAAACACAAAAUAUCCAACGCCAACCUCUUUUACAACAACCACAAUCUCUUUCUUACACAUCAUCGCAACAUACGAUGCAACAGAAUCAAACAAGCAGUGCCAAUCCAAUAUACACAGCCCAUGCUACAUCGGUUACGGUUGUUCAAGCACAAAAGGUGCAAAUGCCAAAUUAUAUACCGCAAGUGCAAAGUGGAAUAGCAAAUAGCCAAUCGCCAGCAUCCCUGAACGUUACCGCGAACCAGCAUCAAUCAUUUGGAGUAACUCAAGCUCAUGGCAUUCAGUCUCGCAUUGCUGCACCAGGUGUCAUGAUUCAACAAAGUAGCCAACAGCACACUCAGUCACAUGUUCCUAACUUCAUCUUAGGUCAACAUUCUGGUUAUAAUGCUCCUACGGAACAAACGCAAGUUCAGUACAGUGCUACAGGUUUCUCAACACAACAACAAAUGAUAAACGCGGUUGGUGUAAAACAACAAGUAGCUCAAAUGGCGCCAACGAUUGCUAAAUCGUGCACACCUCAAAUAGCAACUGGCAUAGCGAAAAUCACUACAUUCGUAACAUCAAAACAAGAUGAACCACUGACAAGUUCUACAGAUGGUACUCUAUCUGGAUCACUUAUAUCUUCUGCUGUCAGCGACAGCACUAUGUCAUCUAGCAGCUCGAUGACAGAGGAGGCACAGCAAGAUCAGAGAGGUAUACAGUCUCAGAUAUUUGACAGUGGUGCUGAUAGCUUCAUCGGUGGUAUAGAUGACGAACAAAAGUUAUUAGAACAGCGACUUUUGGAACAGCAACGGCAAUCUGAAGAAGAUAGUCGCUGGCUAGCGAGAGAAGAGAAACGUUUAUCAAUUGCAACAAGUGGAGAUGAAAGUGCUAGUCCACCUAUUCCUCGUUCAGCCACACAAUCUCCGAAUCAUGAGCCUCAUACUGCGAAUACAGGGUCUCUUGGUUCAGAUAAAGGACCUGAAAAAGAGAAAGAAAAAGUAAUAGUUGUGAAGAAAAUGGAACCAACACCAACAGCAGAUUUGGAUAGAACUAAUGACAAAGUAUAUGAUUGUACUACUAGCGUAGUUCGGGCAGUAAUGUCUUUAUCGCAAGGCGUUCAACAGAGUAAAGCCGAUCAGUAUUUAGAAUUAGUAAGAAGAGUAGGCAUGGAAUUAAGAGCUUUACUCUCCUCUGUUGAUGCUCUUGUAGAAAUAUUACCUAUAUCCGCACACAGAGAAGUAGAAAUGGCACAUAAGGUUUUAAGUAAAGAUAUGGCUGAGCUUGUAACGGCUAUGAAAUUAGCACAAAAUUAUAGUGCUACUACGUUAGAUGCAGAAUAUCGAAAGGGAAUGCUUUCUGCAGCUCAUAUUUUAGCAAUGGAUGCAAAGAACCUCUUAGAUGUAAUCGACUCUAUUCGUAUUCGAUAUCCAUACGUGGAUAAUCAAAUUUGUCAAAAGCAAAAUGAUCAGAAUACAUCACGAGACUCAACACCAGAACAUUGUAUUCGAUCAAGUCAAUCUGGUGAACAUUUUUUAAGAAGAAGCCAGUCUAGUGAAAGGCAAGCAACAACAUUCAGACAAAGCCAAAGUGGAGAUCUUCUACAUCGAAUGGGUCAAUCAGUUGACCGUUCUUUGCAGGGAAGUCAAACUGAUAUUAGCGGUGGAGCUAGUUUAGAGAGGAGGCAUCACAUCGUAACAAAUAGUCUUGAACGUAAUUCAACAAGUAGAAGACAAAUGGCAACCAAUAGCUUAGAAAGAAAAAGGCCAUCAUUAUCUUACAGUGGGACCUGUUAUUCAUCCGAGUCAGUCAGUCGCGAUGGGUGUUAGUCAACAGUCAGUAUUCACUGCUAAUAAAUCUUCAAAUGAAACACCUGCCAGUGACAGCUAACAAGAUGCCUUUCAUUGAGGGAUACUUUGGAAUACUACUUAGAUCGUAUGUAAAUAGACGAUAAUGUAUGAGUUACCUGUGUAUGUCCCAUGAAUAUAUCGACAACAGGACAUCUAGUAUUUGUGCUUUUUAGCUCUUUUUAAUAUUUAUAUAUACAGACACUUUUGUCCAGGCGUACUUAUAGAUAGGACAGUAUUCACCAGAUAUAGAUGUAGUAAAUUAGAUAAUUUAAGUCACAACUAUAAAGAAUCAACUCCAAAGUUUUAGUCUUAAAGUUACUAUUUGUUAUGGCAAAUACGUGUAUAUAUGAGGUGAUGCAAAAGAUACGUGUGCUCAAUAAAAACUGCGAUUAUUCAAGAACACAUAAUAGAUACAUUUGUAGCAAGUAUAUCUGCUCUGCUUUUUACAAUUUUUUCUAAAGCUUGAUAAAAACAAAACAUAAGUGUUCAAAUAAUGUUGCAACAUUGUUAUUUGCAUGGCUCAUAGUUCAGAUAAUUGUUUGUCUUAUUGCAUCACCUCAUUGGUAGUUGAAUAUUGCAUAUAUCGUGCAAAGGUUUAGUUUUUCGUCAGACACAAUGUUGCCACGUUGUUUUUAAUACAAGUUCAUAAUUUGAUAGUCUAUUUCCUACAUAUAGAAGUACUAUGGGGAAUAAUUAUAAUAUAAAAAAACGGGACUGAACGUUAUUUUUAUUAGCAAAUUAUUUAACAAUUCAUACCAGUUUGCAACGUUUAUACAAGAUGUUUUAUAAAAAGCAAAUCUCGUUCUCCGACAGUAAGUCAGUUCCUACAAAAUAUUUUUAGGCAAUAUCAUCCUUUCACAGAGAUACUGUUAAUAGCUUUUUAUUGCGAUUUGCAAUAACAUUUACAUUAGUGUGUUUGAUGCUUUUUAUAAAGCAUCACCAAAUAUUCUACAAAUAAAUAGCACUUCUUUUACACA
rnacentral:misc_RNA from 1 species